rnacentral:lncRNA from 1 species
CAUUAGCUAGAGAGCAGUCCUGUGACUUAUUGAUAAGGCGACAAAAUAAUUUCUGCAGAACAUGUGUUUCUGCUCAAUUUCUGCACCUUUAUGGCUCCAUCUGACACUGCAAUUCUUUCUGCUGCAAAACAGCCUGAUUCGAAUCAUCUGUCUUACAUCUAAUUCAAGUUGAAGUCUAUUAGGCAAACCAAUUCCUGGCUUAUUUGUGUCCCUUCUCACAAAUUAUUCUAGCUGAUUCUCUGGCACUAGUUUUGUUUUUGUUUUUGUUUUUGUUUUUGUUUUUGUUUUUGUUUUCCAGGAACCAAUAGCUGAAAAAAUUCUGAUGAUGUUAAAGGAGAUCUCAUAUUCUUUUUCAUGUUGUUUUAAAUGACAGAUAACAAUUUGGCAUCCUCACAGGACAAUGUGUCCAUCUGACAUAAAUAAUGUGCUCUGAUUUUUUUUUAAAGAAACACAAAGCAGGAGAAGAUGUCCACCUUUACAUUUUCCAGCACAAAACCAAUUCUUUGGAAACCUGUAUGUUUCUUGAUCAUCUCUUGCCAGGUUCUGACAGCUCAGUAUUCAAGUUGCUCACGACAACAGCCUUGACACCAUGCUGAGACACGCGUUGUCUUGUUUUUCACACAUACCAUGCCCAAUACACAUGACAAAGACUGUUGGCUCGACCUUAAAAAUCUCCCC